GUCUUAAUUAGUAAGUAAAAUUAAUUUCAUUUUUCUUGUUUUUGUUUCCAAUUGAAUUUUGAUAAAUAUAUAAAUUUUUAAUUAAUAUCAACAUUUAGAUCAUUAGUUGUGGUGAUUUUAAUUUGCUAUAGGAUUUGUUAAGAAUUCGUUUAGGAUUCAACUAAAGUUUAGGAUUUCAUUAAGAAUUUUAUUAGGAUUAUAUCUAAGAUUUGAUUAGGAUUUUUUUAGGAUUUUAUUAGGAUUAGUCUAGGAUUAGGAUUUAGAAUAUGAUAAGGAUUUGAUUAGAAUUUGAUUAAGAUUUGAUUAGGAUUUAAUUAUGAUUUGAUUAGAAUUUAGGAUUUGAUUAGGAUUUGGAUAGGAUUUCAAUAGGAUUUUAUUAGAAUUUGAUUAAGAUUUAAUUAGGAUUUUUAUUUUUGAUAUUUUUUUAAUAUUUCUUUAUUUUAUAUAUAAUUUAUUAAGGUUAAUUUAUGAUUUCUU
rnacentral:lncRNA from 1 species